UAAGCAUAUCAAUAAGCGGAGGAAAAGAAACUAACAAGGAUUCCCCUAGUAACUGCGAGUGAAGCGGGAAAAGCUCAAAUUUAAAAUCUGGUGGCCUUUGGUCAUCCGAGUUGUAAUUUAGAGAAGCGUCUUCCGCGCUGAACCGUGCACAAGUCUCCUGGAAUGGAGCGUCAUAGAGGGUGAGAAUCCCGUCUUUGGCACGGAACAUCAGGGCUUCUGUGAUGCGCUCUCGACGAGUCGAGUUGUUUGGGAAUGCAGCUCAAAAUGGGUGGUGAACUCCAUCUAAAGCUAAAUAUUGGCGAGAGACCGAUAGCGAACAAGUACCGUGAGGGAAAGAUGAAAAGCACUUUGGAAAGAGAGUGAAACAGUACGUGAAAUUGUUGAAAGGGAAACGCUUGAAGUCAGUCGCGUCGACCGAGACUCAGCCUUGCCUUGGCUUGGUGUACUUCUCGGCUGAYGGGUCAGCAUCAAUUUUGGUCCUCGGAUAAUGGCAAGGGAAAGGUAGCACCUUUUUAGGUGUGUUAUAGUCCUUUGUCGCAUACGGGGGUUGGGAUUGAGGAACUCAGCACGCACCUCUCGGUGUCGGGGCUUCGGCCCACGCUACGUGCUUAGGAUGCUGGCGUAAUGGCUUUAAACGACCCGUCUUGAAACACGGACCAAGGAGUCUAACAUACCCGCGAGUGUUCGGGUGGAAAACCCGUGCGCGUAAUGAAAGUGAAAGUUGGGACCUCUGUCGUGGAGGGCACCGACGCCCGGACCAGACCUUCUGUGACGGCUCUGCGGUAGAGCGUGUAUGUUGGGACCCGAAAGAUGGUGAACUAUGCCUGAAUAGGGUGAAGCCAGAGGAAACUCUGGUGGAGGCUCGUAGCGAUUCUGACGUGCAAAUCGAUCGUCAAAUUUGGGUAUAGGGGCGAAAGACUA
rnacentral:rRNA from 1 species